rnacentral:rRNA from 1 species
AUAUAAAAAAAAAAAAAGUUACCCCCCCAGACGACGCUGGCGGCGUGCCUAAUACAUGCAAGUCGAACGCUUCUUUUUCCACCGGAGCUUGCUCCACCGGAAAAAAGAAGAGUGGCGAACGGGUGAGUAACACGUGGGUAACCUGCCCAUCAGAAGGGGGAUAACACUUGGAAACAGGUGCUAAUACCGUAUAACAAUCAAAACCGCAUGGUUUUGAUUUGAAAGGCGCUUUCGGGUGUCGCUGAUGGAUGGACCCGCGGUGCAUUAGCUAGUUGGUGAGGUAACGGCUCACCAAGGCCACGAUGCAUAGCCGACCUGAGAGGGUGAUCGGCCACAUUGGGACUGAGACACGGCCCAAACUCCUACGGGAGGCAGCAGUAGGGAAUCUUCGGCAAUGGACGAAAGUCUGACCGAGCAACGCCGCGUGAGUGAAGAAGGUUUUCGGAUCGUAAAACUCUGUUGUUAGAGAAGAACAAGGAUGAGAGUAACUGUUCAUCCCUUGACGGUAUCUAACCAGAAAGCCACGGCUAACUACGUGCCAGCAGCCGCGGUAAUACGUAGGUGGCAAGCGUUGUCCGGAUUUAUUGGGCGUAAAGCGAGCGCAGGCGGUUUCUUAAGUCUGAUGUGAAAGCCCCCGGCUCAACCGGGGAGGGUCAUUGGAAACUGGGAGACUUGAGUGCAGAAGAGGAGAGUGGAAUUCCAUGUGUAGCGGUGAAAUGCGUAGAUAUAUGGAGGAACACCAGUGGCGAAGGCGGCUCUCUGGUCUGUAACUGACGCUGAGGCUCGAAAGCGUGGGGAGCAAACAGGAUUAGAUACCCUGGUAGUCCACGCCGUAAACGAUGAGUGCUAAGUGUUGGAGGGUUUCCGCCCUUCAGUGCUGCAGCUAACGCAUAAGCACUCCGCCUGG